AAACAUUACAAUGUGUUGAAAACAGCUGCUGUUCCAUGUUAUUUGCCACCAUUGAGAACAAAUGGACUUCGUAGAAAUGCUCAUCUUUUUUUAAGGAAGGCAAUCAGGUUCUCCCCAGAUGUUUGCCAAGCCAAGGUACCAAAAGCUGAACAAGUGUUUUCGCUGCCUGACUCAGUCAGUUACUGUUCUGGUAAAAAGAUAAUUGAGAGGUAAGAAUGAGUCUGUGUUUGAAAAGGAAACUGAAAUAUUUUUCAUGAAAAUUUAGGGCUGUGUUUGAGGAUCAAACUUCAGAGAUGUUUACCUUUCAAGCACAAGCUGGAAGUCUACGUAUCGGAGGGGGCACACUCGACUGAGGAGGACAUCAACAAACAAAUCAACGAUAAAGAGAGAGUCGCAGCAGCAAUGGAGAAUCCCAGUUUGCGGGAGAUUGUGGACCAGUGUCUGCUAGAGCCUGACUGACGUGGAAUACAUCUGGUACCUUUGUAUUAACUUCUUUAUAAAAUUACCUUGAAUUUAAUACUAAAAAAUUCUUUGUACCUCUUACAUGUUUUUAAAGAACCAUUUUGAAAACACCCAAUUUAUUGCAAACGAGUGAGCAGACCUGAUCAAUCUCAGAUGAACUGUAAAGAAUAAAAAGUUAAUAUUCUCUUAAUGUUGAUCUUUCUAAACAUGAAUCAUUUUUAUUGCCAGCUGAUGAAUGUGUGGUGUAAUUUUUAAAAUCUGAUUUUUAGUUGAUUUCCCCACUUCUCCGUAGUGGGGUAUAUUUGAAUAUCUACUGUGUAAAAGGUGAAUAAAAUACAGAAUUGUUGAAA